ensembl:lncRNA
GCGAGUCUUCGCAUCUAAAUUGUGUGUAAUUGUUUAUUUCAUCAUGUUAGCCAUGCCUAUGUGUUUCAGUGUCUGUGACUGCCAUGUGGGUAUUACAACACUUCCACUUGAAACACCUAGUGAACAGCUCACACUUCCUUGUUUCCUAAUGUCUACAGAUGAUCUGCUCUGAUUCAAAACGAGUCACAAAAAAACUGUCACACACACUUAUCACCCUCUUCAACACAUUUUAGAUCUCCCUCUCCAGCACAGUGAUUUCAUCUAGUCUCCAUUCAUCAUGGCACAGAGGAAAGGAAUAUAACAUCCCAUACACACUAACCAUCAUCUCAGAAUCUCCAAAGGGUAAAACUUCCAAUACACACAGUGGUAAUAAGAUCAAAUGAGUUGAAGGUACUAUGUCGUCUGUAAUACAACCAUGGCUUAAUUAAAGAACUUUAUCUACUUGGAUGAUACUGCCAUCCGGAAUCUAUUCCCUGGAAGUGCAAUAUGUAUUCAACCAUUAUUGGGGGGAAAUCUAAGUUCAAUAGAAAAGUGGUUCUUGAUCAUUAAAAUCCAAGUGCCUGUCACACACUAUAGGGCCAAACCGAGCCAAGUCAAGCGAGCCAAGCCGAGCUGUACUGAAUUGUCCCUAUUUUGUGAAUCAGGCACAUUGUUCUGGCAUUGCAGCCUUCAUAAGUAUACUUGCUGUAGUAGGCCUAUGGCAGGGAUGCAGAGUGUGUCAAUCACUGACUAAUGUGGUUUCUUUGUAUCCAUACUGCUUCCUAUUCAGGGGUACAGGCUUUGUUAAGGGAUCAAGGAAACAGCCUGAACUUUGACCCCUACUCACAUAACAAGAAAACAGCAAAGUUUCCACUUUUCUCCCAAAUAGACCAUUAAAAAGCCUUCAGCUCAUACUUAUCAGGAUUAUCUACUCACAGUGUAGUCAAUGUAUUCAAUACUGGGAGAUAGUCAGUCACAAGUAAAAUGUGAGAUGAGGUCAAUUCAAUACUAAACUAUUCUAAAGUAAUCAAAUGAAGUUUGCUAUGUAUGUAUACAACCUAAUUCUGGUUUAUACAACUCAUUAUCUGAAUUAUAACAAGUCUAUAAUAAUUUAAGUGGAAUCAUUUAGGACAAUAUGCUAUGAAGUAAAAUAAUAUUAGGCUAACUUACUGAAAGCAGUAGGCCUAUUAUACUGUUCAUGACAACAAUAAAACGGGUAGGCCUAAAUUCGCCAAUAACAAAAACGUCAAAUAUCCUACACAUUUAUAAGGUUUAAAAACAUAAUUUUAGUGAUAAAAUAUAGCCUAGGAUAUUUUAGUGAGCCUGAAUAAUCGUUCUACAUUUACUAGUUGCAUUUGGUGAUCGCCAUUUGCAAUCAUAGCGUUAUUGUCCAAAUAGGCCUGCAUGGUUCAUCCCUUCAGCGCUUGCAAGAAAAAUGUCUUUCAAAAAAGUCACAAAAGUCACCCAACUCGAGAUAGCUUUGCUCUUGUUUUCUAUGGGCUAUAGGAUAUAUUAAUGUAUUUUUUGCCAAAUUACUACAGAAAUAUAUCAUAUUAUGCUAUUUGAAUAAUCUAUUGUACAUUAUAACAACAGAAAAUCAAGUUAUUAAGUGCUAUAAGCCUAUUGUAUAAUCAAUACCUGCGGAACAGGUCUAGUCUAAGUUUGUCAGUAAUCAAAAUAAAACAAACCAUUGGCCUAAUGCAUGUUGCCUAAUUGCGUUCAAAUUAUCAUGGAAAAGAAAAAACAUGAAAAGAUUCAAAAUACAACUUAUAAAUCGAAUCAAGAACAAAAAGAGCAUAAUUAAUUACAAAAAUAUAUUGCAAGUGAGACGUUGCACGCAUAUAUCCGAAAUGUAGGCUAUAUUCUGAAGGACGAAUGUGAAUACUGUGCUUCUCUCUGUUCUAUCGUGACAACUUGCUAGUAACGUUAACUUUACAGAAAUGAUUACAGACCCAUAAGGGUAAACCCUGAGAAUAGUUUGGGUGUACUUAAUCCAAUGGCCAAAAAAUAAGUUUACUUAUAUUAAAUAUUACGCAUUGUAACUAUUUGUUUCAUGUUACGGGUUUGCCAGAGACACUCUCCCAUUUAAAAAAAUGUUUUUGCCGUAUAGGUAGCUUUACCUCAGACUCAAAGUUUCGUGGCCUUCAAAUGAAAUAUAACUCAUUACCAUUUGCAACUGAAGAUAGUGAACAAUAAUCAAGCUAACACUUUUUUUUGUAGAAUCAGAGCAACAUAUGUGUGAAAUUUAUUUAAAUUGUAAUUCAGCCCAAUAUCAGAACCUCUCUCUAGCAGAAAUGCAUUUCGUAAAUUAUACAAUAGCAGUUGCGCGUCAGUCUUUUAAAAUAUUCAAAUUAUUCACAAUUUACAAUAAUUAUUACAAUAAGAAGAGAUAAUUAUGAUCAUGAAUAGACAGUGUAAACGGAAAUGUUUACAAUCUCUUAGGGAAUUAUUAAAUGGGGAAAAUAUCAAUCUUUAAAUCCAUCUUUCAUGAUUCUGGAAAACAUGUUCGUAUUUUUCAAUAACUUACAGUGAACCAAAAAUAAUUCGAUUAUAGUUAAGCAAAUGUGUUCAUUAAUUUGGUUGGCAUCGCCCUCAACCACAAGUGUGGUUAAUAAAAAAAUUACAAAAUGAUAACACAACAACCAGUAUCUGAACUCAUAUCCUGUUCGUAAGAGAGUGUAUACUCCAAAAGGGGAAAGGAUAGGCUAAUUUACUUUUAAUUUACAAGAACACCAUAAACAUUCUGAACAAAAUGCAGGUAGUUCAGUGAUCAUUUAAAAAAUAAGUAAAUAUUUGGUUAUGGAUUUUUGUAUUCUGUCUGCAGUUUCCAUAGUCAUAUAAAUAAUCUAUAUAUGCGUUAAUGGAACCGUUCCGUUCACCCCAGCCGUCGCACUCUGGUAAUGCUGCGGCAAUGCGUGGAGUCUACUUUGCACCGACGGGUCCCCGGGCUCUCCGGUCGGUAAAUACAUGCUUAUCAUCUCUCUCAAGUCUCCGGGGCAAGGGCCCCUGGAGUGAGUGCUAACGGGAGGGCUUACGCUCGGCUCUGACUUCACCAGCGACCCUAACGUGCCCAUGGCAGCCGAGGAGGAGACGCCAGAGCUCUGGUGCUGCGUGUAGGUGAUCCCGCCAUAGCCGGACGGAGAUGCGCUCAUGUAGCCCUCAGAGUUCGAGAUGGGGCUGUACUGGAGUGCCGACAUGUCGUAGCGGUGCAUGGGCUGGGGGUUGUGCGGGUGGUGGUGGUGGUGUGAGUGGUGGUGAUGCCCGCUGCCCGGGUGCUGGCUGUAAGCUAGCUGCGCCUCUUGCAUCAUCGCCGCCGCCGCAGCAGCUGCAGCCAUCUGCCCCGAGUACGCACCGUUCGCCCAGCCAUUCAUGUGAGCGUAGCCUGAGCUGGCGGAGCCCCCGUGGCCCCCGGUGCUCUCUAACCUCUGGCCGACGCCGGAUGAACCCAUCCCGACACCCAGACCCAUUCCACCGCCGCCGGCCCCAGAGAGCAGGCCACCGGCCAGAGAGUAUUUGUCCUUUUUCAGCAGCGUCUUGGUCUUCCGUCUCGGUCUGUACUUGUAAUCCGGGUGUUCCUUCAUGUGCAUUGCUCGUAACCGCUUCGCUUCGUCGAUGAAGGGUCUCUUCUCCGCCUCGGACAUGACCUUCCACUCGGCUCCCAGCCGCUUGCUGAUCUCAGAGUUGUGCAUCUUGGGGUUUUCCUGGGCCAUCUUUCUCCGCUGCCCGCGGGACCACACCAUGAACGCGUUCAUCGGACGCUUCACCCGGUCCUGAUUCGCUUUGGACCCACUGUUCGGCCCCGUUUGCCCCAAAUGUGUGUUCGUUUGGGGUCCAGGGGACUGGAGGUCCGUCUCCAUCAUCAUGCUAUACAUUCACCUUGUUUUCAAACUUUCAACCAACAGAUGAAACAAAGUCUGGUUCAGUCGGCGCGCGAGUCCGGCAGAGCAGGUGCACACGAGGGAACGACAAUCCUACACCACAAAAAUAAUUAAAUGCCAACUUAAUUAAUAAUCCAAUACAUAGAGUGUCAGAGAAAUGUUCUCCCCGUGGAUGCUUUAUCUCCUCUUCGGUUGUUGGUUCACAUCCACGCUGACAGAAGGCGCAUUUGAGCCACUUUCCCUGUCGGAGUUGAGAAGUUAGUUAAAGCGGCAGCCAUAUGAAGCGCCUUGACAGCGGUUAAAUGAGCAACGAGCGGCCAAUAGCGUUCUAGAAGCAAAGCGAUUUGCAUGGCACUCAG